rnacentral:lncRNA from 1 species
CUCCACCCGUUGGGCACUAACUGCCCCGGGCACAUGGAGUGCUCGACUAACAGAGCAAUAAAGAAAGGGUGAAGAGGCCACCUAAAACCAGCCUUAAGGGUCUCCCUGAAAAUAACAAACUCCCCUCGUCGUGCUCGGACAAUCCUAUCCUCGGGGUCUGGGAAUCUAACAUCGCAGUUAGGCAUUAUACCGUAUUCCCUAGCUGCAGCUAUGACUGUGUGCUCUUUAAGCCUACAGGGCUCGUCGGGAUACUCAAAAACCAUAUUAACCUGGGCCUCGGGAGUAGCCUCUAGGGGAAUAGCCGUCGGUAUUAUCGAGGUCCCUACGUCCUCACUACUGCUAGAACUGCUAGAAGAUUCUCGACCCUCACUACUUGACAUCACUUAAGAAGCUUAAGACCUAGCUUAUGAAUAACUUAG